rnacentral:rRNA from 1 species
CCUACGGGAGGCAGCAGUAGGGAAUAUUGCACAAUGGGGGAAACCCUGAAGCAGCAACGCCGCGUGGAGGAUGAAGGUUUUCGGUUUGUAAACUCCUUUUGGUAGAGAAGAUAAUGACGGUAUCUAACGAAUAAGCACCGGCUAACUACGUGCCAGCAGCCGCGGUAAUACGGAGGGUGCAAGCGUUACUCGGAAUCACUGGGCGUAAAGGGAGCGUAGGCGGGAGAGCAAGUCAGGUGUGAAAUCCUAGGGCUUAACCAUAGAACUGCAUUUGAAACUGUUAAUCUAGAGUAUAGGAGAGGUAGGUGGAAUUCGUGGUGUAGGGGUAAAAUCCGUAGAGAUCAAGAGGAAUACUCAUGGCGAAGGCGACCUGCUAGAACAUAACUGACGCUGAGGCGCGAAAGCGUGGGGAGCAAACAGGAUUAGAUACCCUUGUAGUC